rnacentral:rRNA from 1 species
GAUGAACGCUAGCUACAGGCUUAACACAUGCAAGUCGUGGGGCAGCGGAUGCUUAGCUUGCUAAGUAUGCCGGCGACCGGCGCACGGGUGAGUAACGCGUACCGAACCUGCCCAUCACACAGGGAUAGGCUUGCGAAAGCAAGAUUAAUACCUGAUGGUCUCAGUUGUAUGCAUGUAUGAUUGAGUAAAGCCUUCGGGCGGUGAUGGAUGGCGGUGCGUCCCAUUAGGAAGUUGGCGGGGUAACGGCCCACCAAUCCUUCGAUGGGUAGGGGUUCUGAGAGGAAGGUCCCCCACAUUGGAACUGAGAUACGGUCCAAACUCCUACGGGAGGCAGCAGUGAGGAAUAUUGGUCAAUGGGCGGGAGCCUGAACCAGCCAAGUAGCGUGCGGGAUGAAGGCCCUUGUGGUCGUAAACCGCUUUUAUCAGUGAAUAAAGUGCACCACGUGUGGUGUCAUUGCAGGUAGCUGAAGAAAAAGGACCGGCUAAUUCCGUGCCAGCAGCCGCGGUAAUACGGAAGGUCCGGGCGUUAUCCGGAAUUAUUGGGUUUAAAGGGAGCGCAGGCGGGAGUGUAAGUCAGCUGUUAAAUAUCAGGGCCCAACUCUGUUAUGCAGUUGAAACUAUAUUUCUUGAGUACGCACAGGGAUGGCGGAAUUCAGGGUGUAGCGGUGAAAUGCUUAGAUAUCCUGAAGAACUCCGAUCGCGAAGGCAGCCAUCCGGAGCGUAACUGACGCUGGGGCUCGAAGGUGCGGGUAUCGAACAGG